rnacentral:rRNA from 1 species
GACGAACGCUGGCGGCGUGCUUAACACAUGCAAGUCGAACGGAAAGGCCCUGCUUUUGUGGGGUGCUCGAGUGGCGAACGGGUGAGUAACACGUGAGUAACCUGCCCUUGACUUUGGGAUAACUUCAGGAAACUGGGGCUAAUACCGGAUAGGAGCUCCUGCUGCAUGGUGGGGGUUGGAAAGUUUCGGCGGUUGGGGAUGGACUCGAGGCUUAUCAGCUUGUUGGUGGGGUAGUGGCUUACCAAGGCUUUGACGGGUAGCCGGCCUGGGAGGGUGGCCGGCGACAUUGGGCCUGAGAUACGGCCCAGACUGCUACGGGAGGCAGCGGUGGGGAAUAUUGCACAAUGGGCGGAAGCCUGAUGCAGCAACGCCGCGUGCGGGAUGACGGCCUUCGGGUUGUAAACCGCUUUCGCCUGUGACGAAGCGUGAGUGACGGUAAUGGGUAAAGAAGCACCGGCUAACUACGUG